rnacentral:hammerhead_ribozyme from 1 species
AUCCAACUGAUCAGUCCCAAAUAGAACGAAACGCGCAUUCUGGAU